rnacentral:snoRNA from 1 species
AAUCUAUGAUAUGGGCAGCAUCUCAAAAGAUCCUUAAAACUCUCCCAUGCAUCCUACAUGCUUUCAUCAUCAAACUGCAUAAAAGAAGAUAUAUCAUUUAUAAGUUU